rnacentral:rRNA from 1 species
GAUGAACGCUCGCUACAGGCUUAACACAUGCAAGUCGAGGGGAAACGACAUCGAAAGCUUGCUUUUGAUGGGCGUCGACCGGCGCACGGGUGAGUAACGCGUAUCCAACCUGCCCACCACUUGGGGAUAACCUUGCGAAAGUAAGACUAAUACCCAAUGACGUCUCUAGAAGACAUCUGAAAGAGAUUAAAGAUUUAUCGGUGAUGGAUGGGGAUGCGUCUGAUUAGCUUGUUGGCGGGGUAACGGCCCACCAAGGCGACGAUCAGUAGGGGUUCUGAGAGGAAGGUCCCCCACAUUGGAACUGAGACACGGUCCAAACUCCUACGGGAGGCAGCAGUGAGGAAUAUUGGUCAAUGGACGAGAGUCUGAACCAGCCAAGUAGCGUGCAGGAUGACGGCCCUAUGGGUUGUAAACUGCUUUUAUAAGGGAAUAAAGUGAGUCUCGUGAGACUUUUUGCAUGUACCUUAUGAAUAAGGACCGGCUAAUUCCGUG